rnacentral:rRNA from 1 species
AAGCUCGUAGUUGAAUUUCGAGACCGGCUUACUGGUCGUGCUUUUGUACGUACUGGUGUAAUCGGUUUCUCCUUUCUGACGAAUUAUAAUGCCAUUAAUUUGGUGUUAUAGGGAAUCAGGACUGUUACUUUGAAAAAAUUAGAGUGUUUAAAGCAGGCUCACGCUUGAAUACAUUAGCAUGGAAUAACGGAAUAGGACGUUUGAUUCUAUUUUGUUGGUUUCUAGGAUCGACGUAAUGAUUAAUAGGGAUAGUUGGG